GAAGGGCGGGAGGACGGCAGCCGCUCGUCGUCACUCUGCACACCGGAAGCCCCCGCGCGCCAGCUCCUCGGCUGGGCCUCAGCCCGGCUGAACGCCGCGCCGACCUUCCUCACCCAGCCCUCACGCUCCCCUCCCCACCACUGCAGGGCAGGGCGGCGAUGGCUGGGCAGUGGGGCUAGCCCACACCCGAAGCUUGCGGCCUGCUGCCAAGCAGCACCGACCGCCCAAGGCGCUGGGCCCCACUCGGCCGUAAGCGCGGACAAAGCCCCCAAGCUGCUCCCAGCGUCCCUCUACUCGCCAUUGGGGGGAGUGGCCCCUCGGGCUCACCCCAUUGGUUUUCCCAGUGAUAGAUCGGGCCACCAGCCAACUGCAAUUCAGGAAUCACUGGGUAUCCCCGUGGCUGGCACUUUGGAUGCGGUUUCAAGGAAUCUCACUCCACCCUCACAAGGCUUGCCAGCUUUCCGGUCUGGAUGUAACUCUGUCCCUCAAGAGCCGAGGACCACACGGGCUGCCCGCAGUUACAUCCACUGGGGCUCAGAAGGAGCGUUUAGCCCCCAUUUCAGGCCUUCAGAUCUGCACACCCCCAGGAAGCCUCUCACCUUCUCUGCCCCCUCCCCCGGCCUGGCCCUGGCUCAUCCUUCACCCAGUUCACAAUGCCUCUCUGAGGAGACCGCUUCUGAGUCCUCACUACUCCAGCUACACUUGAGCUCUUUCUCUCGCUGUAGAAUUUCUGUCUGUAUUUAUUUACUUUGAAACAGCAUCCUGCUAUGCAGUACAGGACAACCUUGAAUUUGCUAUGUAGCUACCGAGCCCAGCUGGCCUCAAACUUGUGACCCUCCUGUCUCACCCUCCCACAUGCUGAGAUUACAGGUGUGCACCAUCAUUCCUGGCUUAUGCAAUGAUUUGUGUCCUUGUUCUCACUCAGGAACCAGGAUAUAUGUCCCAUUCCCUUUGAUGUCCCUCACUGCCUUGUAGGGACAUCCAGCAAACAUUUGUCAAAUGAACAAAUCUGGUAACUGGGAAAUUCAUAUUUCGUCUCCCAAUGCAAUGCUUUAUACAUCUCUG
rnacentral:lncRNA from 1 species